rnacentral:tRNA from 1 species
AAAAACUUAGGAUAACACUAAACCAUGGACCUUCAAAGUCCAAAAUAGGGGAAAAGCCCCCUAGUUUUUG